rnacentral:rRNA from 1 species
GUCAGGACGAACGCUGGCGGCGUGCCUAAUACAUGCAAGUCGAACGGUCUUUCUAUGGAAGCUUGCUCCACUGAGAAGAUAGUGGCGAACGGGUGAGUAACACGUGGGUAACCUGCCCAUAAGAGGGGGGAUAACAUCCGGAAACGGGUGCUAAUACCGCAUAGUUUUCUUGAUCGCAUGAUCGGGAAAGGAAAGACGGCCUUUGUGCUGUCGCUUAUGGAUGGACCCGCGGCGUAUUAGUUAGUUGGUGAGGUAACGGCUCACCAAGACGAUGAUACGUAGCCGACCUGAGAGGGUGAUCGGCCACAUUGGGACUGAGACACGGCCCAAACUCCUACGGGAGGCAGCAGUAGGGAAUCUUCCGCAAUGGACGAAAGUCUGACGGAGCAACGCCGCGUGAGUGAAGAAAGGUUUUCGGAUCGUAAAACUCUGUUGUCAGAGAAGAACAAGUUGGAGAGUAACUGCUCCAGCCUUGACGGUAUCUGACCAGAAAGCCACGGCUAACUACGUGCCAGCAGCCGC